AUUUAAUUUUGGAUUGGACAGGCAGACAGGGUCGUCGGCAAACCAGCAGAACUCAAAAUUCCCGGCGCAGACCGGCCGCCCGCUCACAAACGGACUUGUUUGAUGACAGCCAGGGGAAUAAUUAUGAGGCUCUCUUAGCGUUCGAGGAGCAACAAGGUGCUGUAGUAUCCAAGAACACUCUGACUAAGGCCGAGAUCGAACGGCUGCCCAUAAAAACCUACGAUCCCGCACACAGCGCAGGAAAGACAGAUUGCCAGAUCUGUUUCAGCGAGUACAAGGCGGGUGAACGACUCAGGAUUCUUCCAUGUCUCCAUGAUUACCACGUGAAAUGCAUCGACCGCUGGCUAAAGGAAAACGCCACCUGUCCCAUCUGCAGAGCGGAUAUAUCAGAUAUCAGUGGUGGUUUUUCUUGAGUGCGCACAACUUCAGGACUCGGUAUCUACCUCACAGCUGGUCAUGUGACUCCGUUUGUCUUUUAGUCUUAUUUAAGUGUUAUUUAACGCUUUUUAAAUGAGUAUUAUUUUCUGGUGUUUGAACCAGCAUAAGGCACCGCCAAGCAACUGAUUUAUUAGAAAGAUCCUUCUAAAACAUAACAGAUAUGAAAAUCACACCAGUGGCAACAAAUCGACACUGUUAGCAAUAGCGAAACUUACAUUUGUUAUGCUCUUCAAAUAAAAUAAAUUUCUAUAAA